GAUCGAUUAUAAGCCAGGGAUAAGAGAAGGUCGUGGAAUAAUCAUCUCUGACUUGAGAUUUUCAGAGAUCAGCUCGGGUUGGAAGUCGAUGGAGACAACAUCAAACUAUCCGGUUAUCACCUCAGUAAAUAAUAAUUUGAGACUCAUUUAUGUGGCAUGUAUAGGCUAGUCUUGGAGUUAAUUAUUUUGAAUGAGUAUGUAUUUAAAGCCAUGCGAAAAUGGCUUGCUUAUUAUGCUUAAGUUUGGUUUUACAUGUUCUUAAUUAAAUUGUUUUGGUGAGUUUGGUUUUGGAAAUUGGUUUAAUGGUUAACUCAUUUUGGAAAUAUGAAAUGUGGUAUAAUUGGAAUGA